rnacentral:rRNA from 1 species
GCAGUGAGGAUAUUGGACAUGGGCGCAAGCCUGAUCCAGCCAUGCCGCGUGCAGGAUGAAGCAUCUAUGGUGUGUAAACUGCUCUUGUACGGGAAGAAACCCUGGCUCGUGAGCCAGAUUGACGGUACCGUAAGAAUAAGGAUCGGCUAACUCCGUGCCAGCAGCCGCGGUAAUACGGAGGAUCCAAGCGUUAUCCGGAAUCAUUGGGUUUAAAGGGUCCGUAGGCGGGCCAGUAAGUCAGUGGUGAAAUCUCUCCGCUCAACGGGGAAAUGGCCAUUGAUACUGCUGGUCUUGAAUUAUUAGGAAGUAACUAGAAUAUGUAGUGUAGCGGUGAAAUGCUUAGAGAUUACAUGGAAUACCAAUUGCGAAGGCAGGUUACUACUAAUUGAUUGACGCUGAUGGACGAAAGCGUGGGUAGCGAACAGGAUUAGAUACCCUGGUAGUCCACGCCGUAAACGAUGGAUACUAGCUGUUGGGGGCAACCUCAGUGGCUAACGAAAGUGAUAAUAUCCACCUGGGGAGUACG